rnacentral:rRNA from 1 species
AUACGUAGGGAGCGAGCGUUGUCCGGAAUUACUGGGUGUAAAGGGUGCGUCGGCGGGACUGCAAGUCAGAUGUGAAAUGCCGGGGCUCAACCCCCGAGCUGCAUUUGAAACUGUGGUUCUUGCGUGAGGUAGAGGCAAGCGGAAAUCCUUGUGUAGCUGUGCAAUGCGUAGAUAUUAGGAGGAACAUCGGUGGCGAAGGCGGCUUACUGGGCCUUUACUGACGCUGAGGCACGAAAGCGUGGGGAGCAAACAGGAUUAGAUACCCUGGUAGUCCACGCUGUAAACGAUGAUGACUAGGUGUGGGGGGACUGAACCCUUCCGUGCCGCAGUUAACACAAUAAGUCAUCCACCUGGGGAGUACGGCCGCAAGGUUGAAACUCAAAUGAAUUGACGGGG